UACGGAGGGUGCAAGCGUUAUCCGGAUUCACUGGGUUUAAAGGGUGCGUAGGUGGAUUAGUAAGUCAGUGGUGAAAUCUCCGAGCUUAACUCGGAAACUGCCAUUGAUACUAUUAGUCUUGAAUUAUCUGGAGGUGAGCGGAAUAUGUCAUGUAGCGGUGAAAUGCUUAGAUAUGACACAGAACACCGAUUGCGAAGGCAGCUCACUAAACUGUAACUGACGCUGAGCACGAAAGCGUGGGGAGCAAACAGG
rnacentral:rRNA from 1 species